AAGACUGGGUACAGGGGUUGGUAGCUUGGUCCCAUAUCAGAUGUGAUGUGCGGUAGCCAACUCCUUUAUUGUUGACAUGCCAUAGAAGAGUUGGCUACAGCACAUACAGUAUAGAAACCAGGCAACAGGGAUGAUGGUUCAACAAGGGACUGUGGCGUCCCUUAGAAAGAAAAAGAACAUGUCAAAUAUGGCUGGGAAUUGCCAGGGACCUCACAAUACAAUCUAAUCAUGAUACUUAGGUGCGGAAACAAUAUUUAAAUAAAACAUCUCCCUCUUUCCUUCAAUUUCCCCUAUCUUUGGUUAUGUUACCCUGGCCAUUGCUUUUGCAGCCUUUUUUUUCAAUUGCAAGUUUUGGCACAUUCAUUCCAGCAACAUAGCUGCAACCAAUGAUUAUUGGCUAUUGAAAGGCUUUGAAGCCACUGGUUGAUCAUACUGGCUAUAGCCACGGGAAGUAGGGGAGCUGAGGGUCAACAAUAAAAAUAUAAUAUACAAAUAACUAAAAACAAUUGUGCAUUAGGCCUUUAUUACUCCCGUAGGAGCAGAGAGAAAUACUUGUCAGCAGAGCGGGGGAAAAAAUACCUCCCCAUCUAACAAUUGAAUGUGCCCUUUACAUCACAUGGGCAGUGGCGGAUUGGCCGUCCGGAGCCCCGGGACAUUUCCCGGUGGCCUGAGGGUCGUUUUGGCCUGCUGUGAAUAGUCAACUUGACCAGCGACAAUAUAGCAAGCAGGAAUGAUUUGACUGAGAAUCCACGCAUCAGGCGUGACUCUCACUCUCUCGCUGCAGUGUCCCCGCGCCAGAAAUUACACCAGGUCUCUCCGCGACGCACAUAGCAACCAUCUACAUGCUUCUCUACGGAUAGCAUUUUAGACAAGUCGCACAGCGAAAUGGACGGUCAGAAAAGGAAAGGUGGAGCAGAAAAAAGAGAAAGGCCCUUGCCACAGAUGCUGCAAAAUAAGCGACAUGUUUACCAGUAAGCGACCAGACCAGGUGAAGAAGGAAGCAGCAGCACUAGAGGUGCAACUGGAGAUGGUGGUCAGUUCAGAGUCAGACUCUGAGCAGGAACUUUCAGUAUGUCUUGCAUUUGCAAAAUAGUGCAAAAUAGUGAUAGUGCAUUUGUCAAAGGAGGCAUGCAGGCCUGGAAACAUGCCCAUCAGAGAGUACAGGAACAUGAGAGAAGUAAGACCCAUAAAGAAAGUACAGAAGCCUUUUCCUCAGAGCCGGCAAAGCAGACAUCCGUACCCUUCUGAGUGAUGAGCAAAUGUCAGUUCAACGAGACCAGGUCAGAAAGAGGUGGCAGGUCAUGGAAUGUGUGAUUGAUGUAGUUAAAAUUAUUGGUAAAUGUGGGCUUAGCUACAGAGGACACAGACACGAAGCUGCAUAUAACUUGGAAAACAUGGCCGUCAAUCAUGGCAAGUUCUUGAGCCUUUAUAUUUGCUAAGAAAAUAUGACGUCUGCCUACAAGCGCAUGUUAGUGAUUGCAUCGAGAAGAGCAAGAAUCAGAUGGGAAGUAAAGGAAGAGGGUCCUUGGUAACUAUGAUGUCCAAAACAACAGGCAAUAAAGUAAAUGAAGUCAUCAGAAUGUUGAUUCAGCAGACAAUUGCUGUUGGAGUGAGACAGGCAGGGAUGUUCUCAAUACAAAUGGACACAACACAGGAUUUAACAUCCAAAGACCAGUGUGCAGUAGUUCUGCGAUAUGUCCACGGGAGACUCAUUGCGGUCAUUGACUGGGAGUCAUCGACUGGACAGUACUUUGUGGACCUUUUGAAACAGACCCUUGAAGAUGGACAUAGAUAUCAAACAGUGUGUUGGUAAUGCAACAGAUGGAGCAGCUAAUAUGGAGGGACAAUACAGGGGCUUCUCUGCUUUGCUCACAGGAGAGUCUCCUAACCAAGUACUCAUAUGGUGUUACUCACAUGUCCUCAACCUUGUGCUAUUUGACACCACUGGGGUUGUUGUGGCAAGUGAAUCCCUUUUCUCACUACUGAAUGACAUUGCAGUGUUCGUUCGAGAUUCCUACAAGCGCAUGGAAGGAAACCAGUGACAACAGGAGACACAGAUGGCUUGAUGUAAUUGGUGAAACACGCUGGUGGGCCAAAGACGAGGCCUUGAGGAAAGUAUUUGGAAGCUUUGCAAAGCCUGACCGUGCACUUUACACGGAUGUGGUCAUCACUAUGGAAAGAAUUGAAAAGGAUGUGACCAUAAAACCGGCUAUCCGAAGCAAGGCCCAAGGGUACAAGGAUGCUCUCCUAAAGUAUGAAACCAUACUUUAAAAAAUAUAUAUAUUAUUUAACCUUUAUUUUACUAGGCAAGUCUGUUAAGAACAAAUUCUUAUUUACAAUGUCUGCCUAGGAACAGUGUGUUAACUGCCUUGUUCAGGGGGAGAACAACAUAUUUAUUUCCUUGUCAGGUCAGGGAUUCGUUAUGUCAACCUUUCAGUUCCUGGACCAACGCUCUAACCACUAGGCUACCUGCUGCCCCUACAGCCCCUACUUACAGCUGAGGUUUUUCCUCCUGAUUUUUGAGCAGGCAUGGAUAUCGUAACCGCACAGCACUUGGUGACGGGAACGGAGGAUAACCUGAGAAAGUGUGCCCGAGACUGAGGGUGUGAAGAAGGCAGCAGACGACUUUGUUGAUUGGGCCUAUGGCAUUCUGGAGGAGCAGCAGGAAGGACUGUGAUGCCGAAGCCCAGACUGCUCUCCCAGAGAAGAGAGAAAAAAGAAAAAAAAGAGAACCAGGUGAGUUGGCAGAAGACGAGCCCAUUGCUAAUGCAGACAUGGAUUCCAAAAUCAAGAUCCACAAUGUGGUACUGGACACUGUUGAAGAAAGUAUCCACUGCCGUUAUGCAGCAAAUACAGUGCUGUGUGCAGAUGUCUCCUGCAUGAAUCCUGAAGCAUUUUCCUGAGAUCAGAGAAAGACGGCCAUCAAGGAGCUCAGCAAAUUCUUAUUGGAAUUUGAUGAACAUGCCACUGUUGCGGCAUUGCAGGCUGAACUGAUCACCCUUGCACAACAGUGGGGAAGACUGAAACAGUCAGCAUUGGAGGAGUACAACACCAGGACUGCCGCCGCCAGUGAUUAAUCAGGGGAAGGCUUUGAGGACCCUGAUGAAAGUGUGGAGUUGGUGAGCAGAAUUUGUUCCACAUGUAAAAACUGCCCGAUACACUGCUAUCUUUUCCUGUCUCUACAAUCUGCUCACGGAUGCGUAUCACAUAAUCUGGUUUGGGCUACAAGUUCCUCCUCACUCUAUCCAUCACUCAGGUGGCUAGUGAGAGGACCUUCUCCACCCUGAAAUUUGUGAAGAACUGCCUAAGAACCUCCCUCACCCAAGAAAACCUUGAAGUGUUCCUUUUGAUGGCAACAGAGAAGGAGAUUCUUAUGGGACUUGACAAAGAUGUCCUCAUUGACAAGAUGGCAGAGAGCAGUGAGUUAUUGCGCCGCCUACUGGUUUACUAGUGAUAUUACUUCCUGGUUACUCUGAAGUAGCUAUGCUAUGACUCUUCCUUAACAGGCUGACAAGGGUGAAAGAAUUUGCUGUGAGUUAAAGCUUUUGUACAGAGGCAUGUUUUUUUGGACUUUUGUAUAAUACUUGCAGUUAUGUAGCCAAUGUUCAAUUUCAUUGACUCGGUGUAUAGAUGUUUAUUUUUGUGCUGUUUGCUUUAUGGACACCAGUGAGUGAACAUUGUAAUCUACAUUUUCUUGUAGAGAAAUGCUUUUUUGACUUUUGUAUUAUAAUGACUUACAUUGUUGUAGCUUAUGUUCAAGUUCAGUGAAUGUGUGUGUGUAAAGUUUUGUUAUGCUUGAAUAUAAAGAUAAUCACUUGAGCUAACUCUCAUCCUCUUUAAAAAAA